rnacentral:rRNA from 1 species
AGUGAACGCUGGCGGUAGGCCUAACACAUGCAAGUCGAACGGCAGCACAGUAAGAGCUUGCUCUUACGGGUGGCGAGUGGCAGACGGGUGAGGAAUACAUCGGAAUCUACUUUUUCGUGGGGGAUAACGUAGGGAAACUUACGCUAAUACCGCAUACGACCUACGGGUGAAAGCAGGGGAUCUUCGGACCUUGCGCGAUUGAAUGAGCCGAUGUCGGAUUAGCUAGUUGGCGGGGUAAAGGCCCACCAAGGGGACGAUCCGUAGCUGGUCUGAGAGGAUGAUCGCCCGCCCGAGAGGGGAGACGGGCACACGACUCCUGAGGGACGGCGCAGAGGGCAAUGUUGGCCAAGGGGGGGAAGCAUGACCCAGCGAUCGCGCGUGGGAAAAAACGGCCUUGGGUUUGGAACGCCUUUUUUUGGGAAAAAAAAAGCAUGAGGUAAAUACCCCGCUGUUGUGACGGUACCCAAAGAAAAAGCACCGGCUAACUACGUG